rnacentral:rRNA from 1 species
GAUGAACGCUGGCGGCGUGCUUAACACAUGCAAGUCGAACGAUGAAGCCCAGCUUGCUGGGUGGAUUAGUGGCGAACGGGUGAGUAACACGUGAGCAACCUGCCCCUGACUCUGGGAUAAGCGCUGGAAACGGCGUCUAAUACUGGAUAUGUCCCGUCACCGCAUGGUGUGCGGGUGGAAAGAUUUUUCGGUUGGUGAUGGGCUCGCGGCCUAUCAGCUUGUUGGUGAGGUAAUGGCUCACCAAGGCGUCGACGGGUAGCCGGCCUGAGAGGGUAAACGGCCACACUGGGACUGAGACACGGCCCAGACUCCGACGGGAGGCAGCAGUGGGGAAUAUUGCACAAUGGGCGAAAGCCUGAUGCAGCAACGCCGCGUGAGGGAUGACGGCCUUCGGGUUGUAAACCUCUUUUAGCAGGGAAGAAGCGAAAGUGACGGUACCUGCAGAAAAAGCACCGGCUAACUACGUGCCAGCAGCCGCUGUAACAC